AUGUUGAGGCCGGCCCUGCCGAAAUGGGCCUGGGCGCUGCUGUUGUCAU
rnacentral:sRNA from 1 species